rnacentral:rRNA from 1 species
GAUCAUAGCUCAGGAUGAACGCUGGCGGCGUGCAUAACACAUUCAAGUCGAACGGACGAGAGGUCUUCGGACCUUGAGUCAGUGGCGGACGGGUGAGUAACGCGUGAGCAACCUGCCCAAGUGAGGGGGAUAACGUUUGGAAACGAACGCUAAUACCGCAUAAAGUAUAUGGAAGGCAUCUUCCGGAUACCAAAGGAGAAAUCCGCACGAGGAUGGGCUCGCAUCCGAUUAGGCAGUUGGUGAGGG